AACGGCCGCGUAGCUCAGUUGGUUAGAGCGCCGCCCUGUCACGGCGGAGGUCGCCGGUUCAAGUCCGGUCGUGGUCG
rnacentral:tRNA from 1 species